rnacentral:lncRNA from 1 species
CGGGGGGCGGCCGGGCUGGCUAGCCCAGCGCGCGUGCGGUCGGACCGGGCCGGUGCGGCCUAAAGUGGCCGGGCCGGUCCGGUUUACCCUUCUUUUUUUUUUUGACCUUUUCUUUUUCUGUUUUUCUCAUUUCUUUGAUAUCUUGUGGGUUUGAACUCCAAAUUGGUCCAAAUAAAUCUCAGAAAAUGUCUAAAAUCAUAUUCCACCAUGAUUCAACUUUUGGGAGUAGUUUUCCCUCAGAAUAAAAUAUGUAAAAAUACAUUUGCCCUAUAAAUGCCUUUAGGGCCAUAUAUCUAUUUAAAAUAAAAUACCUUUUGAACUCCAAAUAAUUAUCCAAAAAUUAUGGGGUAGCUCAUAUGUGCAAUAAACCCCUUUUAUAUAUAUAAACUUUAAUGGUUUGAAGAUCCAAAACUCAAAUAGGUGUAAACAAAAUCUUUUAAAGCCUUUUGUGAUUCAAAUUUGAAUUCAAACAUGCAGUUGUGGAUGAUGCUCAUGGAUGCAAUGCACAUGUAAAGGUUUGAAAUUUUGGGAUGUUACAGACCUAACCCCCUUAAGAUGAAUCUCGUCCUCGGGAUUCGGUGUGGCUAGCAAAGAGGUGUGGGUGGUCUUCUCGAAGAUCAUCUUCGCGUUCCCAAGUGGCUUCUUCUUCUGUGUGAUGGUCCCACUGAACCUUGCAGAACUUGAUGGUCUUGGAUCGGGUUUGUCUCUCAGCUGUGUCCAAGAUUCUGACUGGUUUCCCUCAUAGGUGAGGUCACUCUGUAAUUGAACUUCCUCCAGUGGAAUUGUAUCCCUCAGGUGUGUGUCGGCCAUCUCGGGGUGACACUUCUUCAGUUGCGAUACGUGGAAGACGUUGUGGACAUUGGACAGUGUUUCCGGCAA